rnacentral:lncRNA from 1 species
GUUCCUGCUGGGACGUUCCCACGGUCCAGCCCCAGCCUCGGCUUUCCUGUGACUCUUGUCGCAUCCUCACCGCCAGAAGUUCACUGAGCCCUGGCGAUUCCUCGCUUUUAUAAUCUAGCCACUUAGCCAAAGCCCUUUUUUAUCUCUUGCCUAAUUGACAACUACAGCAGCGCACUGAGGCAAUCUGAGAGUUUAAGUUCUGAAACGCUUUCGACAGCGGAAGAUGAACUGGAGGCAGCAGCUGAGCCGUUUUCCAAGCCCGUUAAAUAAAUUUCCUAUGCACAUACAAGCUUACUGUUGAAGUCCUCUCAUCCAAUGCACUCAGAACGGGACUGUAAGUCCAGCUGCUGUGUAUCAUCACCUCAGCCCGAUUGGUCCUCGGCCACACUUCACUUCAGCUUCUGAUAGGUCCUGGGCCAAGCUAAGCAGCAUCUAUGAAUCAUUUCACCUCCUGACUGGUCCCGGGCCAAGCCGAGUCACGCAUUCGCCAAGACAGCCCCCAGACUAAGCACAUUCCUUCCCCUUCCGUCCAUAAAAACCUGGACCCCAGCCUCAUGAUGGGCACUCCCGUUCGGGACCCCCUCUCUGCUGGCAGAGAGCUUUCUUCUUUCACCUUAUUAAACUUUCACUCUAACCUCACCUUUGUGUCCGUGCUCCAUAAUCGUCUUGGAGGUGGGACAAGAACUCCAGGUGUUAUCUCAGACAACGAAAGACUGUUUCAAUAAUGUAGUAUAUAAGUGGACAAGAACUCCAGGUGUUAUCUCAGAC